rnacentral:rRNA from 1 species
UGGGGAAUAUUGGGCAAUGGGCGAAAGCCUGACCCAGCGACGCCGCGUGAAGGAAGAAGGUCUUCGGAUUGUAAACUUCUUUUAUCAGGGACGAAAACUGACGGUACCUGAUGAAUAAGCCACGGCUAACUACGUGCCAGCAGCCGCGGUAAUACGUAGGUGGCAAGCGUUAUCCGGAUUUACUGGGUGUAAAGGGCGCGUAGGCGGGACUGCAAGUCAGAUGUGAAAUCUGGGGGCUUAACCCCCAAACUGCAUUUGAAACUGUAGUUCUUGAGUAUCGGAGAGGCAGGCGGAAUUCCUAGUGUAGCAGUGAAAUGCGUAGAUAUUAGGAGGAACACCAGUGGCGAAGGCGGCCUGCUGGACGACAACUGACGCUGAGGCGCGAAAGCGUGGGGAGCAAACAGGAUUAGAUACCCUGGUAGU